UCUCUUCAUUCAUAAUGAAGAAACAUCCAAUGAUGGAUUAGAUUCAUAAUCUAAUACAUUUACGCUUCCAUUUCGUUACUCGAAUUCUUCCUCAUUCUUUGAGGAAUCUAUCCUUUAGUAUUUCUUAAAUACUUAAGGACUCACUUGACAGUUGCCAUGGUUCUGAUCCUGGGCUUGCACUGAUAUCGUCUUGUACGUUUCUAGGUACAACUCAUAUCAAUGUUUUUUUCAUACAAUAUGAAAUACAUAAAUCACCUUUCUACGUAUGCAUAAAGGAUUCUAUUUACGCAUUAUUUCUUUGGGAGUCAAAGGGUACAUUCCCUUUGAGAAUGGCAACUUGCUAGUCUCACUAGAGUCGUCCUUCUAAUUGAAGUUUAUCAUCAUAUGAGAAACUUCCUAGCAUCUUUUGUCUAUUAUUACGGAUUGAUAUAAUCCAAUUAUAUCUUGAAAUAUAUCAUUAUAGAUUUCCAUCCCAUGUAUAUAGACUAUGUCUCCCAUAUCCAUUCUAUCGUUAUAGAAUGUUUAAAGUCAUAACUUUAACGAAGAAGUAUUCUUUUCAUUUCCAAAAUUAAUAUAUCAUAUAUGUGUGUGUAUAUAUAUAUAUAUAUAUAUAUAUAUAUACAUAUAUAUUUAAAUUUAGGAACAUGAUUAACUCCCACUAAUCUUUUGUAAACCUAGUAAACAAAAGAUUCAUUUACAUCUUUAUGAGAAAUCAAACAAUUUGAUCUUUCUCUCAUAAGACGUUUAUAGCUCCCACUAGCUUGCUAAGAUCCAUGAUGGAUGG
rnacentral:lncRNA from 1 species